rnacentral:rRNA from 1 species
CUUGGUCAUUUAGAGGAGUAAAAGUCGUAACAAGGUCUCCGUAGGUGAACCUGCGGAGGGAUCAUUCCGAGUUCAUGCCCUUACGGGUAGAUCUCCCACCCUAUGUUAUAUUCCCUUGUUGCUUUGGCAGGCCGUCAGGCUUCGGUCAGGCUACCGGCUCCGGCGGUAAGCGCCCGCCAGAGGACCCCAAACUCUGAAUAUUAGUGUCGUCUGGUACCAUAAAAUAGUUAAAACUUUCAACAACGGAUCUCUUGGUUCUGGCUCGAUGAAGAACGCAGCGAAAUGCGAUAAGUAAUGUGAAUUGCAGAAUUAGUGAAUCAUCGAAUCUUUGAACGCACAUUGCGCCCCUUGGUAUUCCGAGGGCAUGCCUGUUCGAGCGUCAUUACAACCCUCAAGCACUGCUUGGUGUGGGCCUCGCCGGUUUUGGCGGGCCUUAAAAUCAGUGGCGGUGCCGUCUGGUUCUGAGCGUAGUAAAUAUCCUCGCUACGGAGACCAGGCGGUUCUUGUAUCAACCCCCAACUUCUUAAGUUUGACCUCGGAUCAGGUAGGGAUACCCCUGAACUUAAGCAUAUCAAUAAGCGGAGGA